GCUGAUAUAUCUUUGAUUUUUUUCUUGUCUUGUUUUUAAGAAAUUCUAGGUUUUCCAAAAUUAAAUUGCAGUUCAGGUCAGUACAGACCACAAUGGUAUCCACACUUAAUUAGAAAAUUGUCAUAUGUGGAAGACUUUCUCCUGCCCUAUCCAAAUUAGAUAGAAUAUCUUUAACUUUAUUCCUUAUUCGUUUUAGGGCCUAAUAUGAUUGAUCAGAAAUAACACUCCAUUCUGACGCAUGACUAAUUUGUCAUUUGAGUUUGUUAAAAAAAAAUUCAAGCCACAAAGUAUUAAAGAGGUAUAGAUUAUCUCAUUCUUUUGCAUUUGUUUCAUUACUAUUUUUUAAAAGUCUUUAUAAAAGAAGUAUUGCAAAAUUAACUGCUAACCUCUCACCCUAUGUUGUUCUUCCUAUUUCUGAUGGCUUCUAAUAUUAGGUAAAUGAUUCAAGGAAUGAAAAGAUGAACAAAGGGCUUGGUAUAUGUAUCAACCAAAGUAAUAUCUGCCCUUAUUAAAAAGACAUCUGUAGGUAUUUCUGUCCC
rnacentral:lncRNA from 1 species